rnacentral:rRNA from 1 species
UGGGGAAUUUUGGACAAUGGGCGCAAGCCUGAUCCAGCCAUGCCGCGUGAGUGAAGAAGGCCUUCGGGUUGUAAAGCUCUUUCAGUUGGGAAGAAACGAUUGCAACUAAUAAUUGUAAUUAAUGACGGUACCGACAGAAGAAGCACCGGCUAACUACGUGCCAGCAGCCGCGGUAAUACGUAGGGUGCGAGCGUUAAUCGGAAUUACUGGGCGUAAAGGGUGCGCAGGCGGUUUUGUAAGUCAGAUGUGAAAUCCCCGGGCUUAACCUGGGAAUGGCGUUUGAAACUGCAAGGCUAGAGUGUAGCAGAGGGGAUGGAAUUCCGGCGUGUAGCAGUGAAAUGCGUAGAUAUGCGGAGGAACACCGAUGGCGAAGGCAGCUCCCGUGGGCUAACGCUGACGCUC